CUUCAUAAACGCAGUUUGCAAUGCAACACUGUAAAGAAAUUCAUUUACAAUGCAAAGAAAUAUUGCAUGGCAACACUGCUUUGUCAAAUAAAUUGUUGGCAUUUUACUGCAUUUAUGAACGCGCAAAAGAUUGGUACCUUGCAUCACUAACAUUAACAUAUUCGACAACAAAGAUUUUUAAAUGAAUGUGCAGGAAUAUUGAUGUAUUCUUUUGAAAACAGCCUCGGAAUUGGCUGAUAAUAGAGAAUCAAGCAGCAGUGUUAUCAAAAAAAUAAUAAACAAAAGAAAUCGCCGUCGUUUUGCAUUAUUAGCUAGCGAAAAUUAACGGAGAAGAAUUCCAAAUCCAAAAAUUUUUGUAAGAUUAUCGAAAGCAUGGAAGACGAUGUAUUUUAUUCUCAUUUUCGAAUGAAGAAAAGUAAAUCUCAGAAGUUGCAGAUUGCGAUUAAGCCCUGGAGGAAUUCAAGUGAAACUGGACGUAUAGCAAUAACGUUGAAAAAAGCUUUACAAAUAACAAUUUGGAAGCUAAGCAAUAAUUGCUCUUUCAAAGAUGUCAGCGAUCGGUUUGGUGUGGCAGCUGACCUCGCAUAUAAGGUGUUUCUGAAAAUAAUUAAAAUGAUUUGCCGCUUGAAGGGAGAUGUAAUCAAAUUUCCCAAAACUGCAGCGGAACAAAAACAAGUAAAUGAAGAAUUUACAAACCUGCGGUAUAAUCCUUUUCCUUUUGCAAUUGAAUACAUCGACGGAACUCAUAUUCCAAUUUCGCAGCCAAUCAAAGAUGAAAUCAGCUAUCGCAACCGAAAGGGAACGUAUUCAAUCAUUA
rnacentral:lncRNA from 1 species